rnacentral:rRNA from 1 species
CCCUUAGAUGUUCUGGGCCGCACGCGCGCUACACUGACGAAGUCAGCGAGCAUGUCCUACGCCGACAGGUGCGGGGAAUCUUGUCAAACUUUGUCGUGAUGGGGAUUGAUUUUUGAAAUUCUUGAUCAUAAACGAGGAAUUCCUAGUAAGCGCAAGUCAGCAGCUUGCGUUGAUUACGUCCCUGCCCUUUGUACACACCGCCCGUCGCUACUACCGAUUGAAUGGUUUAGUGAGAUCUUCGGAUUGGCGCCACUGCAGCUCAGCAAUGGGCUUGGUGGAUGCCGAAAAGUUGAUCAAACUUGAUCAUUUAGAGGAAGUAAAAGUCGUAACA